AUGGAAGCAUCUGGAAUCUGUUAUUUAGGU
rnacentral:piRNA from 1 species